rnacentral:tRNA from 1 species
UCCCUCAUAGCUCAGUUGGUAAAGAAUCUGCCUGCAAUGCAGAAGACCCCGGUUCGAUUCCUGGGUCGGGAA